rnacentral:rRNA from 1 species
UACAGGGGGUGCAAACGUUGCUCGGAAUCAUUGGGCGUAAAGCGCACGUAGGCGGUUUGUUAUGUCGGAUGUGAAAGCCCCUUGGCUCAACUGAGGAAGUGCAUCCGAAACUGGCAAGCUAGAGUACUAAAGAGGGUCGCGGAAUUCCCGGUGUAGAGGUGAAAUUCGUAGAUAUCGGGAGGAACACCGGUGGCGAAGGGCGGCGACCUGGGUAGAUACUGACGCUGAGGUGCGAAAGCGUGGGGAGCAAACAGG